ensembl:lncRNA
GUUUGACACCGCGUCUGCAUCACUCACUGUAGAUCACUCCGCCGCGUCUGCAGUGACGGCUGAUCACCGCGGAUCUGUCUCGCUGCUGCCGGGACAACGCGUUCAAGACGAGAUCAUGUGUUGUGUGACACGUUGACGCAGAAUGAAAACAGCGCUCCGGUCAUGAUUGCUGUUGUUUGUGUUGGCAUACAAAUGACGACAAGAGGAACUACUUAACCAAACGAGUUGACUGACAAGCCUGCGACUGACAACACCUUGAGUCUACACAUACUGCAAGCUGAUUUCCUCUGUGUCUAUUUGAUAUGGACGAUAUAUAAAGAUGGUGCAUUACGUGGUCUGACCAGUAGAGGGAGCGUGACCCUGACCAGUAAACCAGUGGACCGCUUCUUCUCUGGGCCCUAGUGGAACCAGGAAGUCACGGAGAGCG